rnacentral:lncRNA from 1 species
UUGCAAGAACCAUCAACAUCAGGAUCUUCAAUAAAUGAAGUAACAGAAACUACUAUCAGUGCUCGCUAAAAGAUACCUUAAUCAAAUAUGUAAAUUUUUGGUUUAUACUUUCACCUUGAAAUUUAGUUUGUAGACAUUUCUAGAGGUUCUUGAGAAACAAGUAAGUCACGUUAUGGUAUUGCAAAAGAGUGGUGAUAUUUGAACAACUAUUUGAUACAACUUUUGUGACAAUUUCUUUUUUUUCUCUUUUCAUUAGUUAAAAACAAUGGAGAGAGAAAAAGAAGAGAGAGAAUAAGAGUAUAAUGUGAGUNAACCCUAAUUUAAUGUCUUUAGUCAUUUUUUACAUAUUUUAAUUUUAUUUUGGGUUGUUUCAUUUAAUAAUAGGGUUUAAAACUACAUGUUCAUGAAAUUGUGCAUAAAAAAUAGCGAAAAAUAUGUAUUCAAUUUUUUAUUAUAUUAAAAUAGACCCAUAAUACAAUUUUUUGCGAAGUGUGUUAGAUUAUUAUUAUUUUUGCUAGAUUAUUAGAACUAAAAACAAUAUUGAGGGAGUAAAGUGUAGAUUUUAUUAUAAGAGGGGAGAGGAAUGUAAUUCAAGCUUGGGGAGGGGUGUGUAAAAUUUUCUGAUAUGUUUUGAAUAAGAGGGGAGGGGAUUGUGUAUUUUAUGAUAAGAGGGGAGGGGGGGUGUAAUUUACUCUUAUAAUUUUCACCUCUCAAGAAAAAAAGUUUAUAAUUUACAGUUAAUUUUCACCUUUUUUUUUUUUUUGAAGGAAGUUAAUUUUCACUUAACUCGGUUAAAGAAUACUCCCUCCGUUCCUUUUUAAGUGUCACUUUUGGAGAAAAUUUUUGUUCCUAUUUAAUUGUAAUUUUCAAAGUUCAAUGCAACAUUAAAUGUUGUUUUAACAAUAUUCUCUUUAGUUAUUUAUAGCGGAGAGAGAAAUAUAUGAAAUGAGAUAUUGAAUUAAUAAGGUCAUUAUAGUAAAAGUAUAGCUUAUUGCAUCAAAAGUAGUAUCAAAUGUUUAUUGUCUUGGUUUGUGUAAAAUGUCAAAAUGUGACAAUUAAAAAGUAAAAUGUCAAAAUAUGACAAUUAAAAAGGAACGGAGGUAGUAAUUAUUAACAAAAAAAUUAAUUGCAAAAAUACUCAUACCUUCUCAGUCGAGAUCCAAGCUGUGUUGUGUUUAGUGUUCCCUCCACUCUCUUUUUUGUUGGCGAAUCUUCAUUAGAAUUUCCAAUGUUCAAGUACGGGUUGCAACCAAGUGGAACACCAUGUUCUCUCGACACGACGCGUGCUGCAAGAUAGAGAAUACGCCGGCGACUGAUACUUCCCUCGCCGCACAUUUCCUUCACAAAGAACGAAGCACCGGUAAUCACAGCUUGACAGGUUAGUGUUUGUAGUUCGUUCAAUCGGCAAGGGUAUUAUGGUAAACUACAACUAUAUAACGGGACAAACGGUCAUUUCGGUAGCUAAAUGUGUAAGAAUAACCAAAAUAGUCUCAUUCAAAUAGUCCUUCAAUACUCACAUUAACUCUUUAUAUAGGACCUAUAAAGCACGGACACUCCUUACCUUAGACGUGUCCCGGUGUAGGACAUGUGUCGUGUACUCGUGUUCGACACCGACACCUAUAAUUACACUAAAUUAUGUGACUUUUUCAAUUAUUAAUGGUGUCGGCGUGUCUGGAUCCGUGUUUGUAUCCGUACUUUAUAGUAUAGGACUGAAAUGACAAUGAGUAAGUAGUUUUACGGACCGAUAAAACAAUAAGUAAGUAUAUUGAAGGACUAAUAUGACAAUAUUAACCAGUUAUUUUAAUCUCAAGACUAUUUUGACUAAGGAAGUGUGCAAUUUAAGAUUAUAUUAAAAUUUUGAUACGUUGAGAGACUACUAUGGCUACUUGUUACAUAUUCGGGGAUUGGUCGCUUGUAGUGCUAAUCAUGAUAAACAAUUAUAGCAAAAUAUAAAUGAAAGUUAGUUUGUUUUAGUAUAUGUUAUAAGCUGUUUUAUUAAGCUAUGGUUGAAAACUUAUAAAAGUAAGACUAAAAAAGCUUAUGAAAUAUAGACCCUGCUCGAUUACCGAUUUCAUUUUGCUAUCCGUUUUGGUAAGGCCUUGAAUUUGCCAGGAAAUUUACCAUCGCUUAUACAUGUCACUGUAACGACGGACCAUGAGUCCAUGACCCAUUGAGGUACGUAGCUAACUGCCAAGCUCAACUUGCAUGCAUAAAAAGCAUCCUUUAUUAGAUACUUACGGGUCAAUCUUUGUGUCUGUGUAGUCAAAUACUGCUCACUUGCAUGCAUAAAAAGCGUCCUUGUUUAUGCUUCUUAAUUAGCAUGUACUAUUUGGAAAUCAAAAUUACCAACGUGAAAACCCAUGUUUGAUCAGAAACCAUAUAAUUAUUUACCUUCUUAUGAACACAUGUUUAUUGUCUUACCACCGUGUUCUCAAACACACAAUUAAUCAUGUUGAGUUGUAUUCAAUUUAAAUGAGAAUCAUCGACCCAAUAAUUUUUUCAUAAUGAGGCCUAAAAAAAUUAUAAUAUAUCAUAUAUUUUUUUGUCUACAGCCCUUUUAUUUAUAAACUAUAAUAAAAAUUAUUAAUCUUUUGUUGAUAGACCUAAAACGAGGAUUUUAGUUUCCUAUCUACUUACCUGUGGUUACUUUUCUUCAUUGAUUUUAUUUUCCCACUUUCUCAUGUGUCAGUGUCACUGACCCAUUGUGUGGAAAAUAUAACAAAGCAUCAUCAUGUCCUGUUGAGCAGGGGUACAAUUUUGUUUCAGUUAGAAUAGUUCAAUUAUCUCUUCAUGAAAUGCAAGAGGGGUAUGAUAGAAAAACUCAAUGGACUCUGCUAAAAAUCUUCUCUACCUUAGCACAGUCGAAAAUCAUAAAAACAAAUUGUUAGUGUUAGAUUACUCUUUGAUUCUACUAUGUCUCACCUUAUCUUUUUGCCCUUGUUCUUCUGAUACCAUAACUAUUCACAAACCCAUAAGAGAUGGUGAACUUCUCAUUUCUAAAUCUAAAACAUUUGCUCUUGGAUUCUUCACUCCAGGAAAGUCCACCUCUCGCUAUGUUGGAAUCUGGUACAACAAUUUGCCGAUCCAAACUGUUGUUUGGGUUGCAAAUAGAGAUGCUCCCAUCAAUGACACUUCUGGAAUUCUAUCAAUCAACCAAAAUGGGAAUCUAGAACUCCACCACAACCUUAGCACCAUUCCCAUUUGGUCUACCAAUGUUUCAUUAACACAGUCACAAAGAAAUAACACCAAUGUUAUAGCUCAACUAUUGGAUAUAGGAAACCUUGUUCUGAGGUUAAACGACACCGAAACUGCCAUCUGGGAAAGCUUUGAUCAUCCCACAGACACAAUGCUUCCGUAUCAAAAGAUUGGUUUUGAUAGAAAAAUUAAUCAAAGUUGGGUCCUUCAAUCCUGGAAGACAGAUGAUGACCCUGGAAAAGGUGCGUUCACGGUGAAAUUCAGCACCAUUGGCAAACCACAAUUGUUUAUGUACAACCAUGAUCGUCCUUGGUGGCGUGGUGGACAUUGGAAUGGAGCAAUAUUAGUAGGCCUACCUCAUAUGAUAGGAGAUAUGGCAGUUCGUAAUGUUUCUUGGGUUGAAGAUGACAACUAUGUAUCACUCUCAUAUAACAUGUUUAAUAAGUCUGUCAUUACAAGGAUAGUGGUUCAGCAAUCUGGUUUCUUUCAAACAUUCAUGUGGGACAGUCAAGAGAGUCAAUGGAGCCGGUACUGGUCUGAACCAACAGACCAAUGUGCUAACUACGGAACAUGUGGACCAAACAGUAAUUGUGACCCUUUGAACUUUGAGAGCUUUAAGUGUACUUGUUUACUUGGUUUUGAACCAAAAUUUCCACGUGAUUGGUAUGAGAGUAGAGAUGGGUUGGGAGGAUGUGUAAGAAAAAGAGGUGCAUCUGUUUGUGGGAAUGGAGAAGGGUUUAACAAAGUUUUAAGGGUGAAAGUUCCUGAUAUAUCUGGGGCAGUUGCCAUAGAUGGUUUGACUUUGGAAGAAUGUGAGAAAGAUUGCUUGAGAAACUGUUCUUGUAAUGCCUAUGCAGUUGCUGAUGUGAGGAAUGGUGGUAGUGGAUGUUUGACGUGGCAUGGGAAUUUAAUGGACAUUCAAAAACUUAGUAAUCAGGGCCAAGAUUUAUUUUUGCGCGUCGAGAAAGUUGAACUUGGUAAGAUAUUCCCUCCUACUGUUUUUUUUUUUUUUUGUUUAUAAAUUUGACACCACUUUUAAGUGUAGUUUAAACUUCUUUGGACUUGUUUUUUCUUAUCAGCUAAUUACAACAAAAAAAGCAAAGGAGUCCUUGAUAAAAAGAGGUUAGCUGCAAUUCUUGUAGCUUCUAUAGUUGCAAUUGUCAUCCUCCUCUUCUGUGUGAAUUACAUGUGGAAGAAAAAGAGAAAGGGNCCAAGAUUCAAGGCUGAAAAUAAUUCAUAGAGAUCUAAAAGCCAGCAAUGUUCUCCUUGACGCUGCAAUGAAUCCCAAAAUCUCAGAUUUUGGUAUGGCUAGAAUAUUUGGAGAAGAUGAAAUCCAAGCAAGAACAAAAAGAGUGGUCGGAACAUAGUAUGUGUCACACACUUAUAUCACGAAAAUAUACAGAUGGAUAUGUAUUUUUAUGAUACUCUAACCAUUUUGUUUAAUUGCAGUGGAUAUAUGUCACCAGAAUAUGCAAUGGAAGGACGAUAUUCAACAAAAUCUGAUGUCUUCAGUUAUGGGGUCUUACUACUGGAGAUUAUUGCUGGCAAGAGAAACACACAUUGUGAAAUUGGAAGAGACUCCCCAAAUUUAAUUGGACAUGUAAGUUACAUAUAAUAAAAAGAGUAGCCUUAAAAUUGGCCAACAAUCUAAUGAUGCAUGACAUGACAUAUUUAUUUAAAAAUUGUGUUGUGCAUUUAUAGGUGUGGACACUAUGGACAGAAGAAAGAGCCUUGGAUAUUGUUGAUCCAGCACUAAACCAGUCUUAUCCUCUUGAUAUAGUUCUGAGAUGCAUUCAAAUUGGACUUUUGUGUGUGCAAGAAAAUGCAAUUAAUAGACCAUCAAUGUUAGAAAUUGUUUUCAUGCUAUGCAAUGAAACACCUCUCUGCCCACCUCAAAAACCAGCAUUUUAUUCAAUGGCAACCAUGAAUUGCAAGAACCAUCAACAUCAGGAUCUUCAAUAAAUGAAGUAACAGAAACUACUAUCAGUGCUCGCUAAAAGAUACCUUAAUCAAAUAUGUAAAUUUUUGGUUUAUACUUUCACCUUGAAAUUUAGUUUGUAGACAUUUCUAGAGGUUCUUGAGAAACAAGUAAGUCACGUUAUGGUAUUGCAAAAGAGUGGUGAUAUUUGAACAACUAUUUGAUACAACUUUUGUGACAAUUUCUUUUUUUUCUCUUUUCAUUAGUUAAAAACAAUGGAGAGAGAAAAAGAAGAGAGAGAAUAAGAGUAUAAUGUGAGUAUGAGAG